CUUUUGACCUCGGAUCAGGUAGGGAUACCCGCUGAACUUAAGCAUAUCAAUAAGCGGAGGAAAAGAAACCAACAGGGAUUGCCCUAGUAACGGCGAGUGAAGCGGCAACAGCUCAAAUUUGAAAUCUGGCUCUUUUAGAGUCCGAGUUGUAAUUUGCAGAGGGCGCUUUGGCUUUGGCAGCGGUCCAAGUUCCUUGGAACAGGACGUCACAGAGGGUGAGAAUCCCCGUACGUGGUCCCUGGCUAUUGCCGUGUAAAGCCCCCUUCGACGAGUCGAGUUGUUUGGGAAUGCAGCUCUAAAUGGGAGGUACAUUUCUUCUAAAGCUAAAUAUUGGCCAGAGACCGAUAGCGCACAAGUAGAGUGAUCGAAAGAUGAAAAGCACUUUGGAAAGAGAGUCAAACAGCACGUGAAAUUGUUGAAAGGGAAGCGCUUGCAGCCAGACUUGCUUACAGUUGCUCAUCCGGGUUUCUACCCGGUGCACUCUUCUGUAGGCAGGCCAGCAUCAGUUUGGGCGGUAGGAUAAAGGUCUCUGUCACGUACCUCCUUUCGGGGAGGCCUUAUAGGGGAGACGACAUACUACCAGCCUGGACUGAGGUCCGCGCAUCUGCUAGGAGCUGCGUAAUGCUAACUUC
rnacentral:rRNA from 1 species